rnacentral:rRNA from 1 species
UACGGGGGGUGCAAGCGUUGUUCGGAAUUACUGGGCGUAAAGGGCUCGUAGGUGGCCAACUAAGUCGGACGUGAAAUCCCUCAGCUUAACUGGGGAACUGCGUCCGAUACUGGAUGGCUUGAGUUUGGGAGAGGGAUGCGGAAUUCCAGGUGUAGCGGUGAAAUGCGUAGAUAUCUGGAGGAACACCGGUGGCGAAGGCGGCAUCCUGGACCAACACUGACACUGAGGAGCGAAAGCCAGGGGAGCAAACGGG